CUUAUAUUAGCUAAAAGCUUGUGUUUCAUUUAGCAAAAGCAUCUUGAACAAAAAGGACUUUGUGAACUUUUUAACACUGGCAAUUUGUAAAGGUUGCCAUUUUGAACCGACCCAAGUGACAACCUAAGUAAAAGGCUGUUCUGUAUAAGUUUCUAUAUGCAGUUAAAAAAGCCACUGUAAAGAAACAAAGAAACAACAACAGAUAAAGCAUUAAAUACAGUAAGAUGGUUAACUGCUUCAGACUACCUUUCUUUCUUCUGGUUAUUUCUGCAAUGUAGUGCCUCUGGUUACUGGUAUGACACUGAUGAUGUCAUAGAAGACUACACAAUCUUGCUUACCACUGCCAGCCUUGUUCAAGCCAAGAAACAUACACAUCUGACUUCAUAGCACUAUGUAGAGUUUUACUGAUAAGUAAGUCUACAAAAAAGAAAAAAUCUAGCAAUUAAGCUUCCAUGGAAACAAAAAGCAGACGUCUGGAGUAACCUACAUAUUACUACAUGACCAAGAAAAAUGCUAUGCUAAGUAUUAAAAUAUAUUUGCUAAGAAUAUCUCUUUAAAAUAGGAUGAUAGAGAGGAAAACAAAGAAGAAAACUAUUUUCCAAAUUUAUACAAGAUGCAGACGGCAGGAUUCAGAACAGAACUCUAGUCUCAAGAGUCCCAGAAUCUAGUUUGUUUACUAUUUUAUCUUUUUUGGAAUCAUCCCAAAAUUUAACUAUUCUGCUCUAGGCAUGUAUCAAGGGAAAACAUCAAUUUUGCUGAUUUUUUUUUCUUGUUAUGAAAUUGACCAGCCAAAUAGGAACUAUCACUGUAGCGCACCUGUAUGGCACUUACAGACUCUUCCUUCAAUUCAUCUAAAGUUUCUGCAACUAGGAUCUAGGAAAUUUCCGCAACCAACUCAACAUUCAAGAUUCUCACCAUAUAAUGCCAGAGUGGAUCACCUAAAGUACUUCAUUAAUGUCCAUAGUUUAUGUUGACAUCACAAAGCUUGCAGAACAGAUUUUGCACACAAAUUUAAGAUGUGAAUUUCUCAAUUACAAAUGCUUAAGCAAAAACUACAGCAUAGGUGCUAUGGGGACAAAAAAAAAAAAA